GCCUCCCGACAGGCCUGUGUGGCCGGUGGCGGGCGGGCCGUUACCUCCCGCGCAUGCUCUAUGGGGUAGAGACGCUAGGCCGGCACUGCCUAGGUGGGCCGGGCGGUGCGAGGGUCGCCUUUCAGCCUUUACCUCUACCCACUGAAAUGGAGUAGGUCGGUGAGCGCCGAUCUGCUGGAGAAUCUCAUUAUCCCAUCGGCGCUCUGCCUGCUCCUGGCCUCCAAGCCUCUGAAGCCCCUCGGGUUUCAGCUGCCGGCUACCCUCGAGCCCGUGGUGCCCACGAGAGAGGCGACUUUACGUCAGCGGCCCUGGGCUGAGAUUUGAGAACGCGACCAAGUGGAGAAUGUUGGAGCCAGAUUUUAAAAUCCUUGUCUUCCUUCUGCGUGCUACUUGAUCUAAAUGAGAUACGGCAAAGUCACAGAACCUGUUUUUAUGUUUUUGCCUGAUUCAUACGGGCUUCUCCGGUGAAGAUGGGCCUGAAGUAACGCUUGGGUUGCUUCUGACGUUAUAACUCAUCCUGUAGCUGCAGCAACCGUGGUCCUUGCAACCUCAUAAAAAUGUUGCCAGCAUUGUUUCGAUAGUGCUGCUUAAUUCUUGGAAGGCCUCUUUGCUUUCUUCCCUGAGGUUCUUCGGACUUCACACAUUCCAGCAGUAGCUCUCUCAGCUCCUGUCCUGCACAGCUUUGAAGUGCUGAGACAGAGUUUUGCUAUGUUACCCAGGCUAGUCCCAAACUCCUGAAUUCAAGCAAUCUGCCAACCUCAGCCUUCCAAAGUGCUGGGAUUGCAGGCAUGAGCCACUACACCCAGCCUGAAGACACAGCCCUGGUGAUGGCUUUCUGAGGAUGACACGAUGGAGGCUUCUCCAAUAGCUCUAAAACUGCGGUGUGGAAAACAUUCGGCAGCCUCAAAGAGCGGUCUUGUUGACCCCAACUAUAUCAUUUUUCAUCAAAAUCAUUCUUGUAAAGAAUGACCAGGCAACACUCUUUGAAAAUUGGAGGCCAUUUGCAGCUGCUCUCUGUUGAGGAAAGUGAAUAAUAGGGUGCCCUCAAGGAAUUGCAAAGGGACACGCUGCGGAUGGCUUGAGAUUAGUAUCUGCGCAGGUGCCAUUCUCACAGUGUGUGCUGUGAGAAUGUCGCAGACGUGUGCUGCUACUCUGGCACUCACACUUGUCCAGGCUGUUUCUUAGGUGGUCAUCUUGCCUGUGGUAUCAGAAAAAGGGAUUUCUACUUAGUAUUAAGAAGUUGAAACCAAAGUAGAAAAUAUUCAUCCUUUGCUUUCCCCAAACAAUUCUUCUGCCUAGAAAUGUCAACAACUUAACCACAUGCAAAUACCCAUUUGUGGACAAAUGUGUACAAAAGACAUUUGGGGUUCCCCUCUUUGAGACUAGAUUAAAGCUGACCAUAUAGAUAGGGAAGAAAACUGUUUUUCUCUGUAGCAUCAUAUUGCUGCUUUGUAUAUUUUCUGAUAGAGUAGCAUCAGGUCCUCUGGCUGCUUUAUUGAAAUCAUCUUUGACGUUUCUAACAAGGAAAUUUCCUGUGCAAAACUCUAGUUAGAGAUUUCAGUGACUUGUAUCACCAAGAGGAGGACCAUCAGCAUGCAGUGGAGGUCUAGGCUUCAGACAUGUGAGGCACACUGAGGAGCAGCUUUAUUUGCAAGAGGUAUUAGGAAUCUUCCUAACAAAGUUGACCUUCAGGAUGGGAGAAAUCAAAGCACAGACCAUAGAUCCAAAAAAAAUGGCUUCUGGUCAGAAAAGGUGAUCUGAGAUUAGGGGAAGAUGUGUCAUCAAUAUCAUCCCCUGGUCCAGCCCUGUGAAAUCACACCUGAGUGGUAGAGAAAUAUCUAUGAAAAAAUAGUAAA
ensembl:lncRNA HULC hepatocellular carcinoma up-regulated long non-coding RNA